GGUGCUUGGUGAUUCAUAAUAACUUCUCGAAUCGAUUGGCUUGUGCGGGAUGGUUCAUUCAAAUUAUCUGGCCUAUCAAAUUUCGGAUGGUAGGGAUAGAAGGGCCUACCAUGGGUUCAACGGGUAACGGGGAAUAAGGGUUCGAUUCCGGAGGAGGGAGCCUGAGAAACGGUUACCACAUCCAAGGAAGGCGAGACAGGGCGCGAAAUUACCCCAAUCCCGACACGGGGGAGGUGAUGUGAAGGCAAUAUAAUAAACAAUAUAGGGCGUCUUUCUGGGUCUUGAUAAUUGGAAUGAGUACAAUUUAAAUCCCUUAACGAGGAACAAUUGGAGGGCAAGUCUGGUGCAGCAGCCGGGUUAAUUCCAGCUCCAAUAGCGUAUAUUAAAGUUGUUGCAGUUAAAAAGCUCGUAGUUGAACUUCAGGGCCUGUGGCUGGUGGUCCGCCUCACGGCGUGUCACGUGUCUGGCUGGGGCCUUACCCUCUUGGUGAACCCUCAUGCCCUUUAUUCGGGCGUGGGGGGGAACCAGGACUUUUACUUUGAAAAAAUUAGAGUGUUCAAAGCAGGCCUAUGCCCGAAUACAUUAGCAUGGAAUAAUAGAAUAGGACGUGGGGUCCUAUUUGGUGGGUUCCUAGGAUCGCCGU
rnacentral:rRNA from 1 species